rnacentral:rRNA from 1 species
UACAGAGGUGGCAAGCGUUGUUCGGAAUUACUGGGCGUAAAGGGCGCGUAGGCGGUCUUGCAAGUCCUGUGUGAAAUCCCCGGGCUUAACCUGGGAAUGGCCUUUGUGACUGCACGGCUAGAGUGUGUCAGAGGGAGGUAGAAUUCCACGUGUAGCAGUGAAAUGCGUAGAUAUGUGGAGGAAUACCGAUGGCGAAGGCAGCCUCCUGGGAUAACACUGACGCUCAUGCACGAAAGCGUGGGGAGCAAACAGG